rnacentral:siRNA from 1 species
CACGGUAAGCCGCUUCCAUUGUC